rnacentral:lncRNA from 1 species
GGCUACGACUCUGAUGGGCAGGUAGGUCUCAGUGGCAAGGUCGGGGAUAACCAGUGUAUGGGUGGGGUGAAAAAAGACACUGAGCCAGGCAACUGAACUCUCCUGGUAUAUGGUGCUUGGAAGGGCUCUUUGGUCUGGUAAAACAUUUAGCCUGAGGUGUCACAGAUACUCAAGACAGAGGCAUGGAUUGAAAGUCCUGGGUAGUGCUGGUUACUGUACAAUGGCUGUCCGCCAGCCCUGCCAAGUGUGUUUUAUUGUGUGCCACAGUGAAUGGGUGGAUGUGAGGAGCCUUGUGUGUGUUCUGUCCUCCAGCUUUACUGGUAUCUGGUGAUCAAAUUAAGGUUAUCCUUGAUGCACAGUAGCACACAUAUGUUAAGCUAUUUUGAUCACUCUGGAUGUUUGUGUUGUAUAUAGUAGGAUCUGUGAUCUUUUGGGGGGUUUUGAGACAGGGAUUCUCUGUUUAGCCCUGGCUGGCUUUGAACUCAGAGAUCUGCCCGCCUCUGCCUCACAA